UACGAGUGCCUCAAGCGUUAUCCGGAAUCAUUGGGCGUAAAGGUUGUGUAGGUGGUUGUAUUAGUCUUUUGUUAAAUUCUUCGGCUUAACCGGGGGCAUGCAAAAGAAACGGUACAACUUGAGGAUGCGAGGGGUCUGUGGAACUCAUAGUGUAGCGGUAAAAUGCGUUGAUAUUAUGGGGAACACCAAAAGCGAAGGCAGCAGACUGGAGCACUCCUGACACUGAAACAAGAAAGCGUGGGUCGCGAAUGGG
rnacentral:rRNA from 1 species